rnacentral:rRNA from 1 species
GAGCUAUCAAUCUGUCAAUCCUUCUAGUGUCCGGACCUGGUGAGAUUUCCCGUGUUGAGUCAAAUUAAGCCGCAAGCUCCACCCCUGGUGGUGCCUUUCCGUCAAUUCCUUUAAGUUUCGGCUUUGCAACCAUACUUCCCCUUGAACCCGUAGGCUUUGGUUUCCCGGAAGCUGCCUGCAAAGUCUUGAAAAUCAACAUUUGCAGAUCGCUAGCUGGCAUCGUUUAUGGUUAGAACUACAGCGGUAUCUGAUUGCCUUCGAACCUCUAACUUUCGUUCUUGAUUAAUGAAAACAUUCUUGGCAAAUGCUUUCGCAGUUGUUGGUCUUCAGACGGUCCAAGAAUUCCACCUCUGACGUCUGGAUACCAAUGCCCCCGACUGUCCCUGUUAAUCAUUACGUCGAUUUCCGAAAACCAACAAAAUAGAAACGACGUCCUAUUCCAUUAUUCCAUGCACAAAUAUUCAAGCGUGUAAGGCUUGCUUUGAGCACUCUAAUUUUUUCAAAGUAAACCUGGUGGCACCCGCAGACACCCGGUUAAGAGCACCUACGAAUUUCCACCAAAUGAUCGCGAGCAUAUAGGCAACGGCAACGUCUCAAAACGAGCCGGCCCGUGCUCACCGAGAUCCAACUACGAGCUUUUUAACCGCAACAACUUUAAUAUACGCUAUUGGAGCUGGAAU